rnacentral:rRNA from 1 species
AGAGUUUGAUCUGGCUCAGGAUGAACGCUGGCGGCGUGCUUAACACAUGCAAGUCGAACGGGGUUAUCAUUUUUGAAGCGAUUAGCUUGCUAAGAGUGGAAAAGUUGAUAACUUAGUGGCGGACGGGUGAGUAACGCGUGGGUAACCUGCCUUACACAGGGGGAUAACACUUAGAAAUAGGUGCUAAUACCGCAUAAGCGCACAGUCCCGCAUGGGACAGAGUGAAAAACAUUAGUGGUGUAAGAUGGACCCGCGUCUGAUUAGCUUGUUGGCGGGGUAACGGCCCACCAAGGCGACGAUCAGUAGCCGGCCUGAGAGGGUGGACGGCCACAUUGGGACUGAGACACGGCCCAAACUCCUACGGGAGGCAGCAGUGGGGGAUAUUGGACAAUGGGGGAAACCCUGAUCCAGCGACGCCGCGUGAGUGAAGAAGUAUUUCGGUAUGUAAAGCUCUAUCAGCAGGGAAGAAAGAAAUGACGGUACCUGAGUAAGAAGCCCCGGCUAACUACGUGCCAGCAGCCGCGGUAAUACGUAGGGGGCAAGCGUUAUCCGGAAUUACUGGGUGUAAAGGGAGCGUAGACGGUAAUGCAAGUCUGGAGUGAAAGGCGGGGGCCCAACCCCCGGACUGCUCUGGAAACCGUGUAACUGGAGUGCAGGAGAGGCAGGCGGAAUUCCUAGUGUAGCGGUGAAAUGCGUAGAUAUUAGGAGGAACACCAGUGGCGAAGGCGGCCUGCUGGACUGUAACUGACGUUGAGGCUCGAAAGCGUGGGGAGCAAACAGGAUUAGAUACCCUGGUAGUCCACGCCGUAAACGAUGAUUACUAGGUGUGGGGGGGGUAUGGGACCCAUCGGUGCCGCAACAAACGCAGUAAGUAAUCCACCCUGGGGAGUACGUUCGCAAGAAUGAAACUCAAAGGAAUUGACGGGGACCCGCACAAGCGGUGGAGCAUGUGGUUUAAUCCGAAGCAGCGCGAAGAACCUUACCAAGUCUUGACAUCCUCCUGAAUAAAGGGUAACGCCUUUAGGCCUUCGGGACAGGAGAGACAGGUGGUGCAUGGUUGUCGUCAGCUCGUGUCGUGAGAUGUUGGGUUAAGUCCCGCAACGAGCGCAACCCUUAUCUUUAGUAGCCAGCAGGCAAGGCUGGGCACUCUAGAGAGACUGCCGGGGAUAACCCGGAGGAAGGUGGGGAUGACGUCAAAUCAUCAUGCCCCUUAUGAUUUGGGCUACACACGUGCUACAAUGGCGUAAACAGAGGGAAGCGAGCCCGCGAGGGGGAGCAAAUCCCAAAAAUAACGUCCCAGUUCGGAUUGUAGUCUGCAACCCGACUACAUGAAGCUGGAAUCGCUAGUAAUCGCGGAUCAGAAUGCCGCGGUGAAUACGUUCCCGGGUCUUGCACACACCGCCC